rnacentral:rRNA from 2 species
GUGCGAGACCGAUAGCGAACAAGUACCGUGAGGGAAAGAUGAAAAGAACUUUGAAAAGAGAGUUAAAGAGUACCUGAAACUGCUGAAAGGGAAUCGAAUCGUUUCCAGUGUCUAUAAUCUGUGGCAUAUUUCAUUGGCGAGUGUGUGCGUGCAUUGUUUUGGAAGCAGUUUUCUGUUCCUGGCUGUGUUGUGCAUUUGCUUGCUGGUGCCCUGUGUCGCGGUGGGACGUCAGAGUCAAUUCGUAAGUUGCGGGAAAUGGCUAUUGGGGAGGUAGGUCACUUCGGUGGCUGUUAUAUCCUGAUAGCUAGUAGUCGUGGCUGGGAUUGAGGUGCCUACAACGUGCUUUCGAGUGUCUGGGUGUCUCGUUUGGUAAGUUAUCUUGACAGCUUGCUGUGUUGGUGAUAUUAUCGAGCGAUUGAUGUCUGGUCCAACUUGUUGCUGUUCGGGACUUUG